AUCCACCUGACGAGUCCAAGAUAGGACGAAGCGCGCAUCCUGGAU
rfam:Trichobilharzia regenti genome assembly, scaffold: TRE_contig0023444